UCUGAAUCUGCGUACGGCUCCGCAUACCAGUUGUAAACCAUAGCGAGCAAAUCGUGUCGGCGUCGCAAGGCGCCUUCGCGGUUAAUAGGGAUAACCCUGGUAAUUCUGAGGCUAAUACAAGAACGUACAACCCGUCCGACCCGCAAGGGAAGGGCGGGGAAUGUGUGACCAGGCACGCAAAUUCGAAACUGGGAGUGGCCACACGUUCAGACCGCCAUACCAAACGGUCGUUCGCUUCGAAAGUCCUCGUGACGAGUAGCGGUGGACUUCUGGGCGGCUCUCGCUGUGUGCUUCUGACCUAUCAACUAGAUGGCAGCGUAACGGACAUGCUAUGGU
rnacentral:rRNA from 1 species